rnacentral:lncRNA from 1 species
CAUGAGGAAAGAGAGCUGAUUCCCAAUGCAGCUGCCUCAUUGGAGAAUCCACAACCCCAAGACCCUUUACACCUGCAUCAAAUUCCUUUGCAACACCCAACCAUUUCCCAUUUUUGGAGAAACUGAUGGAAGCCAAAGGUUUAGUUUCAAGAUUUACAGCACAUACAAUUGUAUCCCCAACCCCAAACUUUUCACCAUAAUUUGAAAAUUUUCCAGCAACUGAAAAUUUUCCUGUGCCACCAAACCCAAAGCUGUGCUCUGUUUCCCCAAGGUUUCCCACUGCAUCAUCUCCUCUUGAAAUGCCAAGCCGACAAACAUGCUGCUGGUCAGGAGGGGUGUCUUCCAUAUCCACUGGCUGAGUUGAAAUAAUUUUGCAACCAAAACAAUACUUCCCUCCAGUUAUUCCAACAUUACCACGAGCACCAGACCAGCAAUAAGCAAAUCCAUGGUCAUGAAGUGCAGAACCUUGAAGACCAUCACCAACAAUAUUGAAAUCUGGUGACAGGGUAACAGUUCAAUCAAACAUAUGAUACUUGCAAAAUGAAAAACAAUUUUAGAAGUUAACUGCACAUGCACAAACACAAAAGACAGAGCCCAAGCCACGGCCAUUUAGCCCUAGGGUGGGACGCCUUUAUGUUUCUAUUUUAAGAAUGGAAGGGUGUUCCUUUCUCUUCUCUCCCUUCUUUUCAAUAUUAAUAUGGUCCUUGAUGAUGCCAUAGUUUAUGUGGACGGGAAACAGGGGAGUCACCCGAUUGAAUUGAAAAAGCCUGGGUUAGGAAACACAUUCCUUUCCUAUCCCUCUCUCUCUCCCCCACACCCCCCAACCCACUUAAUCUCUCUCUCUCUCUCUCUCUUUCUCCCCUUAAUGAAUCAAAACCAUAGCAAACCUAGUGCUUUCCUCCAAUCUUGCGCUACAAAACACACUCCUUUCUAGUCUCUCUCUCUCUCUCUCUCUCUCUUCUUUAAUGAAUCAAAACCAAAGCAAAAAUUUGAUUUCCUCCAAUCUAUGCCUAAGAGGCAACGUAAACAGCCACUUCUUUACACUCUUUUCUUCUCAUUUCUGCAUUUUCUUUCAAUUUUAUUUUUGCAAACAGAGAAACUAAGGCCCGGAAAAAGCUACAUAUUGCUCGAUCAAGUUAAACUGAACGGAGCAAGAAUUAUUAAUCUCAAUGAAACCCUUUGAAAUUCACAACACAACAGGAGCAGGCAGUGAUAGGCGCGCAGCACAUUAUCAGAAUAUACCAAUAAUUAAUUAUCUCAUGGAAAAUACCAAAAUGAUAGUGACGGACUAUAUAACAUCAAGAAUUCAUGCGAUUACAAGGAAAGAAACGCGAAAUUAUCGGAAACGUGGAAAUGAAAUUUGAAACUAGGGUUUGAUAAAAAUUCAAAAAGUAAAGAAGAAUGAUGAAUGGAAGAAGGGGUUCUGAAUACCUAAAUCGCAGUCUGCGGGAUUGAGCACCACGCGUUGCUUGGUCUUGUGUUCGGGAGAAUCCGAUAAGGCUGCCUUCGGCUUCUUCGACUCGGGUUCUUCUGGUUCUGAAAGCUGGCGUUUGAUCGACGCCAUUGAAAAAUAACUGAAGCGAAAGAGGCAGGAUAGCUGAAACGUUUGUGCUGGUGUUGGGGUUUAUACAGGGAACUGUUAUGAUCGCAGAAAUUUGGAGAGGAAGGACGACAAGCACAAAUUUAAGGUAGAGAUCCGACCCGAAUCGAGCAUAGCCCAAAUUCACCAGAGUUUAAUGACUUGGGCUGCGGUUGGCUCUCAACCCAAAAUUGACUAUACAGAAUUGUGAUUAAUCAAAUGUAGUAAAGUAGACCCGGGCCAACCCACCGAGUUGCAACCCUACUCAAUCAAUACACAAAUUCAAAAUUCAAAAGGAAAUAAAUGAGGGUGAAAAUAAAGAUAAAAAUAAAAUAUAAAAUAAUAAAAAAGAAUAAAACAAGAUGAAAUAGAAUAAAAUAAAAUGAAUAAAAAUAAAAAUAAAAAUGGAAAUGUAUGGGCUAAGAGUAACACGGACUAAAUUGUAUUGGGCCUAGAGUGUAUGGGUCUAAAUUGGGCCAAGAUGGAAUAUGAACAUGGCCAAGGUGACUGUCAUGUGAGGGGUAAACCUACAUGAUAACGGCUAAGAAAAAUUUGGGGUCUAUAAGUUCCAAAUUUGGGCCGGCCCAGGAUCGGUCCAUUAUCACCUGACCGUUGCUAAAACCCUGCAUUCAGGGGUUUGCCUUGUAGCGCAGGAAGCCACGAUCUCUGUCCUACAUAAGCCUUCAAUCGUUCCGUCUGCGCUACGAUCGAUCUCCGAGUUCAAGUAAUGCUGCAAUAUCCUAUCCCAAUUCAAUCAAUUGACAUAUCUGUAAGAUGCAAUCGUUUGAAUGAUGAGAAAAACAUAUAUGGAGGAUACAAUCGUUUGAAUGAUGAGAAAAUAAUGAGGGAAAUGAAAAGAGAAUUUUAAUUGUGAAAUUUCACCAUCUAGGUAUCCACCGCUGGUGGAUACAGAAAACCCAUGUGACUCUUUUGGCUUAGUUGACUUGAGUUUUAGAUUUUAUUUUUUAAUUUUUAUGUUUCGUUUGUUUUGGAUUUUUGGCAAAAGAAAGUGACAGCGAUAUAACUUAGGAAUCAAAAUGUGGUUUUCUUUUGUUUUUCUUCAUUUUCUUGGUAACCAAAUAGAGGGUCGGAUCCUGCUCUGAGUGCUUUAUGGCUUGGGAAUGAUGCUGAUGGAAAAUUUGAGUUUUAUGGCUUCUCUUUGAACAGCCGUGGAACUGUUGCAAUUUUGGAUUACAGCUGUAACUGAAAUUUUUGUUAGAUUGUCGGUCUUUUCUAUUUGGGAAUGUUUUCUUGUACAAAAAUCAUUUUAGUUUAGAUGCAGGGAAAAUAUGAGAAGAGUAAGUAAAUUUUUGAAUUGUAAAAUUUUCCCCAGAAAUGAUUCGGGUGUUUGGCUUGGUUGAUCUGUGUGUGUGUUUUGUGGGAAACCAAAGAUGAGGCAUAGGAAGGAUAGUGUUGUUUUCUUUUAUUGCUCUGUUUUCUUGAAAACCUAACAGAGAGCAAGGAUUUCUCUUUUAAUGCGUUGGACUUGUCUUUCCCAAACAUUCAGUUAUUAGGAUUUCCAGAGGGAUAAUGGGGAUCACCCCAUCUCAUACUUCAUACUGCCCCUGUUAAAAUGCCAUGAAAGACUUAACAGAAUCACCAAUUUUCAUUACAAUAAAUAAUUCUUCUUCUACAAAAUUACCACACCUUGCUUACAUUCAUAUUUGGUGCAUGAUUCAGCUACUGCAGGUGGGUUAGUAGAGAAUAACAAACAAAGAUAGUUACAAAUAAAACUCAAAUCCAAAUGAAUGCUUAAAUUCUAUAAAUUGGCAUUUCACACCUAAAUAUGUUUAAAUCUUGAUGAAUGAAAGCUGAUCAACUGACUGACAAACAACUUAACAGCAUGUGCAACGAAGCAGGUCUCUGUGCAUCUGCUCAUACCUGAGCCGGUGAUCACUGGUACAAAAUAAAAGAGAGAGAGACGUGAUGAGUGCAAGCAUGAAGUUUAUAGCUACUUUAGUUAGUAAUCCACAAAACAUGUAUUUGAUUGAGAUUAGGGCCAGAGGAAACCAAAUUCAGUAAUGCAUAGAGGUCAUGCACACUAACAGGGUGCACCUACUAGAAAAAUAGUGAACGGACACUUGUCUGAGGAAAACAUUCCGAACCUAAUGUAUUAAGCUCAACUCAAUGGCUAUGUGCAUAGAAUUCCCCAAAUAUCAAUUGUGGAUGAAUUAUUUUUCUGAUCUUUGAUUUUUAAUCUCACAACGAUCCAACUGUUUCCAAAUUAGCAUAUAAAUCUUGCAUGCAUAAGGGCUUAUGUUGGUUAUCAAUUGUUUUCAUCAUUGGCAUUGUUCUAACUAGUUGGGGGUUGGCAGCAAAGCAAACAAUCACACGAGAAGGAUUAUGUGGUUAGAUGGUAUUCUUAUAUCCAACUAGGAGAAUGAUAAGGGUUUCAAUCAUACUCUUGCCUAAGCUCUGAGCUCAAAGCCAUUAUUCCAAUUGCAUACCUGUUAUUGCUUUCUGUAAAAUACUUUUAACAUAAAUGCAAAAACGGCCUCAAAUACCAAAAUGUCCCUUGCCACCAUAGUGACUCUCUCCGGUACAGGGGUGGAUAGGUCACAGAGCUGGGUACAGGCACAAACUAAAUUCCUGUGUAUGGUAGUGAUAGAUCAAGUAAAAGUGAUAUCAAGAAGGUCUAGAAUGGCCAGACCACCUUGAAUACAAAUGCUCAGCCCCUGUAAGCUACUUCCAUAGCUCUCCAUUCCUCCACCAAUCAAAGCAAGAAUCUCUUCAUUUUAAAAGAACUUUAAGAAUGUUACUUCAUGGCUGCCACCACUGUAUUUUAUUUUUUGAAGCAUGGCUGGUCUUGGAAUUCUUUCACAUGACCUUCUAGUUGUCUAAGAGGCUCUACUUACAAAUAGAUCCUCCCUUAUCAACCUUCAUGACCUUCUCUGCCCUUGAAAAGGUUUUAAUAUCAACUUGUAGAAGAUAAGAACUCCCUGACAAACAACAUGACCUGACACCCAUUUCUUUCCCUUUUAGAGUUAUUUUUUAUUAUAGUUAAUCAGCGUUCUCAGCUACGCUUUCAUGAAAUACUUAUGAAUCAAAGCUCAAAGAAGACUCUCAUUUAUCACAUCUGUAGAACACAUUAAUGGUGCCCGCACCAUCUGAAACUAAAACAAAAUUGGAGUAUGACCUAGUUCAUCUAAAAUUAAUGUAGUUCAGAAAAAUAGGGCCUCUAUUGCUUCUUUGAUGUAAGACUACAGAGUGGAAACUCAUUAGAAGCACCAUCACUCCUCAAAUUAAACAUUAUGUUCCCCUAAUAAAAUAGCCAUAGAUUAGCUAAAACAAUAAUAAGAAGAAAAGCAUACUGGUCUUCUUUAAGAACUAUUUCAAAACAAAAUAUCCACUGCUCAAAGGUGAAAACUGUGAUUAACAGAAUGACAAGAAAUCUAAUGAAAAAAUAAACAGCCAUAACUAUUGUGUUGAAUUUUGCUUCCUAGACUACCAUUUCCUUCCCCUUCCAACAUCAUAAAUGCCUAAAAGGAUUUAUAUCCAUCAUGAAUAUCUUUCUUGGCGUCUUAACAAAGGCACUUCUUGUCAGAUGAGGCUAUAAGCAUAGAAUAAACCACUGAUUUCGAUUAGAAUUUUAAUUAGCAAGUUAACUUGGAGGUGUUUAUCAUAUCACAAAUUAAAUAUGGGCAUUAGGGCUAGGUUCUGUAAGAUACAGAGUUGUCAUGAUCUGAGCAUCCUUCAGCUAAUAACAAGUUUCCAUCUGAUGUAGCGUAUCAGUAUCUCUGAAGCAGUAGGUGAAUUCUAAAGCUAGAAAUUAACCUUGUAAGUAAGAAUCCCAUCUGCUAAAGUAAAAUGUAUUUUUCAUCAAGAAAGGUAAUGUAAUACUGUUGCAAACAAGCAGAUAUUUCAAUUUUUUUGAUAGGCACAUUAGACAAGUAGAUAAGCGACUCUCUAACCAACACAGCAAAGAGGAGUGAUAUGCCAACUAUUCAUGGUCACAGACAAAUUCUAAACAAAUGAUGCAAAAUGGUUAUUUGUCGCCUUAUAAAGCUAGCAGAAAGAAAGUAUUUCUGACCUUUUAAAGCCACUGUGUUGGAUGAUAGAACAAAUACAUCAAUGAUGAAAAUCACAGAGGAUGGCAAUUCCCACACCUGCACAAUACAUAUACAAAGUUAGAGGAGGGAACUGUCAAAUAUGCUUCCACCAUUAAACUAUUACUGUUAACCCAGGGACAUUAAGAAACCAUACCAUCAUGGCAAUAAGAAAAAUCUUGAAGUAACUAGAAAUGAGGAUUGCUAGCAAAAGGUUUUUGUACCUGUACAGUUUUAAGAAGAAUGAGCCAUAUCGGCAAUGCCCCUUUUUUAAUUCACUUUGAAUAAGAGAACGACAAAUGGAUAACUUUAUAAAGAGAAGCCAAUGUCAAUCAGCUCAAGCUCAAUAAAGGCUUAUUAACUUCCUAUGGGCAGCACAGAUAUACUACCGUACCAUCUGCUCUAAAACCCUUGUUAAGUACACUUGAAUGUGUUUUUUCACAAUUCAUGAUCUUUUAUGCCUUACUUGUCCUUCAUCACCUUCAACUUGGACCAAGUCACCAUCUUUGCUGUUGUGAUGAAUGGUCUGCAUAUGAAAAGACCAUCACAGGCUCACAGCUUACCUUUCUUGAACUUGUUCUCAUUUUUUGCAGAGCGCUCAACAUUCUGUGCCAUCAAGCACAGAAGGCCUCACCUGGGUUAUAGAAUUUUUCCUUUAAUUUGACAUCAAAGUAAUCAUCAAUCAUGAAGCAGUCCAGUAGCACUUACCCGCUUCAUCCAUCACACCUUGCCAAGUGCACAACUUGAACCAAAGUGCUCCUCACCAGUAUAAUCAUUGAGCUGCUAUGCAUAUGAUCAGACUAUCAUAGCUAACCUUUUCUCAUCUUGUCUGCAUUUCAUUACACUCAUUUUUAUGUAGGCCCAAAUGCCUGGAUAGCUUAAUGGGCUCAUUCUUAUGAAGUUUCUUUAAAUUUGAUUUAGUAGGACUUCAUUGACUUACAAAAAAAUUUUAACCAUCAGUGUUUGGUAUUUGUUUCUUUGAUCAAAAUAAAGAAGAAAAGCUCAUGGAUAAACCCCAUUCGUCUUCACUCCUUGUUAAAACCAGUAUCCUGUCUUAGAUGAUAAGGCUCUGUCUGUAUAUAUUUUGCAAUGAAUUUAAAGAACUGCAGGAUGCUCCUAAAGACAAAAUAAAAUGGCAGAUUGAUGAAAUGGAUACAUGCAUUCAAAAGAAGAAAACCCAAAGCAGACUUCCACAAUAAACCCUGCAAUAACAGUUGGAAAGUGAGUUUACCACAACAAAGAAUCCGCUUUUAUCGAACACCCACAAGCAAUCCAGAAAGGAAGGUGGGAAUUUCACUGAAGUGAAUGGAAAAGUAAGGGGGAAAAAUAAGUGGAUUAUACCUGGAAAUUGAGGGUUUGCGGAUUGAGCAAAUUGAAGAGAAGAUGCCUAUAUGCUUUUGGCUUGUGAAGAAUCAAAUCAAUAAGAAUAAUCUAUGGCAAAAAGGAUAAUGAUCUAUUGAUCAUUGAUAUAUAUAUAUAUUGAGAUAAAGGUUUUGAAGGGUUUCUCGAUUAUCUCACUAAAAUUCAAACUUCACCUGUAGCAAAACCAACAUGAAGCAACCUUUUUAAUUAAUAUGAGUAUUGAGCUAAGUUGGUAAUUUCAUACAAAAAUUCCUAAGUAUCUAUUAACUUGGUUUUACUUUUUUAAUUUUUUUUUAUCAUUUUUCAAAGUACUUGCUUAAUAAAGAUCAAGAUGUUAAAAAUGCUUAGGGGUUAAGGUAUAUAAUUGAGGGUGUGGGUGAAUAUGAAUCAAUCUAGUUUUCAAAUUGCUAUUUUUUUCUUAAACUAUCUUUUAAGAGAGUUGAGGAGGCCAAGAAAACAAUUUUUUUUACCAAGGGUUUUUGUGCCUUGCUCUAGGAUCGAUUCAAUUAGGUAAAAUCAAUCCAUCUUUUGUUGAAUUUUGCUUUAACUAUUGAAUCAAAGAUUCUCUAUUAUAUUUAACUUAAAUGGUUUCGUAAGGAAUAACAAUAAUUGUUUUUCACUCCCUUUGAGCUCUCUUUUCAAUCCAAAUUAAGAGUGUUUUGAGAAAAUUCUUUUCUAUCUUGAUUUUCAAAUCAUUUUUCAAUUGGAUUUUCUAAAAAAAAAAAAAAAAGGGGCAAAACAAUGGGUUGAUUUAUUUAUUCCAUUCAUCUCUCAUGUUCUUCUUGAUUUAGGUUUGAGAGAAAACUCUUUUUUUUCUUGUACAAAUUCAAGAAGAGAUAGAGAUGAAGUUUGGGGUGGACUCCAAUUGUGCUUAAAAAAAAAAGGUAUUAAGCCAAAGUUGGAAAAUACUAGUCAAGUAGUUCGGAAGGAUAAAUAAAUUUAAGAUAAGGUAAAACUUUACUCGGUUAUUUAGUGGAAGUUUUUUUAUUGUUAAUAAGUUCAAUAUUUUUCAUCUUUUAAAAGAUUUUCCACAUAAAAAUUUGAUAUUAUUAUCUUUCUUAUUCUUUUCUUUUGUUCGUUUCCAUUUAUAGAUCUCAAUUUCAUGCUUGGGCAUAUAUGUUGGAUAAGUGAAAAAUGAGUUGAAAUGAGUUCGAUUAUCCUUUGAAAAUUUUGAAUAAUUAGUCAUUCAAUUUGAUUAUGAUAUCAAGUAGUAAUUAGAAAUAUGUUAAAGAGUUAAUUGUUAUGAAUAUAGGUCGGGGAAUGAUGAUAUCCUUGCAUGUGAAUUACAUUUAUAAAUUAUUAGGAAAGUGUUAUUAUAUUUACACUUUGGUGUAGUCCAUAAUUGCGAUUAACCUUUAUUGUAAAUUACAACCUAUUAACUCUUGAAGGGUCUUUUAGCCUUUGAACACUCAUAUUAAUUUAUUUUAAAUCUUUUCCCAUUUAAGUAUGGAAUGUUAAUUUUUUCUUCUAUUUUAUCCCAUUAUCAAAUUUGAUAAUUAAGCCAAACAUUCAUUUUGGGAAUAAUACAAUUUCCCCUACUUUCUUUUUUUUUUUUUUUUUUGGAAAAUUAUCUCUAUUUACUUCAAAUGUCUUUCCAUGUAGGUGUAAAAUGUCAAACUUUUUCUUCUAUUUCACCUUCAAAUAUAUUCAAACUCCAUUAUUAUAUUGAUUUUUUAGCUUAAGUAAUAAAUUUGGGAAUAAUACAACUUCUACAAAUUUAAGUUUCUAUUUUCUUACCAUCUAAACAAAAUGCACAACUCUACAAAAAUUUCCCUCCUAGUAUAACAAAAUCUCCUUUUUUUUAACCACUCAAUCUUUCAUUCAUAGAUUGAUAAACUUUCAAAUAAUCUAUACUCAUUACAAAUUUUCCUUACCCAUUCAUUGCCCAUACAACUCAAAACAAAUUCAAUCAAGCUUGCCCCCAAAUUUCCCUCCUAGUAUAACAAAAUCUCCUUUUUUUUAACCACUCAAUCUUUCAUUCAUAUAUAGAUAAACUUUCAAAUAAUCUAUACUCAUUACAAAUUUUCCAUACCCAUUCAUUGCCCAUACAACUCAAAACAAAUUCAUUGCCCCCAAAUGGUUUUACUUUAUGGAUUUGUUGUGAGCAUGGUUGAAAUGACUUCUUCAACACUCUCUCCACCCUCUUUUUUAAGUGCUCUUUCAAUGGUCUUUUAUAUAAAUAAGAUAGCAAAAUACUAAGAUGUUUUUAUAAAAAUGGCAUAUUGGUCAUUUGAGUCAAUAAGUUAGAGCAAUCUCCUUUUUGAGAUUAAGUUUAAUGGGGUCUUAUUAUGCAAAGUUUUCCUUUUUUUUUAAGUCUCUUUUUGGGAUCUAAGUCUAGUGCAGUCUCUUUUAACAAAACUUUUCCAUAAUUUUUAUUACUUUUAAAAUAUACCUUUUAUUUGUAAUGGGCCAUUGGAGAAGCUAUGAGAUUGUGAUUUAGAGCUUAUACAGAAGGCAAGAGAGGAAGAAAAGACCACAAAACAGGUGUGAGUGAACAUACAAUUAUGCCCAAGAAAGUAAAACAUGGUUCAAGUAGUUUUGAAAAUAUUUACUUCACUAGCAUAUUUCUAUCAUGCAAUUAUCAAAAACCGUAUACAAAAGAGUUUUCGCUUUGGUUGAGAAAAGAGAAUUCCAUGUGGCAUCACAGUAGACAUAUAUAUUAUACAAUAAUCAAUUCCUUUGUGCAUCUCUUACUUCAUGUUGAUCAUCUAAGAUUCAGUCUGAUGAUGGCUUUUCAUAUUCUACACAGAAUGGAACCACAGCGCCAAUAAAGAAAAUACAAAAUGAUUGGAAGGUUCAUUUUUAUAUACAAAAAUGGUAUGCAAUAAUGGAUUGCACACGAACUUUAUCAAAAGAGAAGAGCCAGAGAAGUUGCUCUUCAACAGAAUAUCUCUGGAAUACAUUUACUUACAGAUAGAUGAAAACAAGGCAACCCAACUUCAAUGCAAUGGUUGAAGACGGGGUGAGUAGUAAAGAUUUGUUGACAUGUACAAGCAAAAUGAAGACGUGAUACCCACAUCACAUCCUAUCAUACAACAAUUCAUUUACACAGCCCUCGUGUCUCUGUUCAGCAUUCACUCUUCAUCUGAUGAGAACAGCGCUAUCGCGAUGCCGGAUAACCUUCUUCCCCUCAGUCGAGACCUAAAAUGCCUCGACUGCUUAGGUGCAUCUGGGGUUUGAAGGUCAUCGAAACCACUGGAUUCUUCUGGAUCGAGGGGGCUUCGAAAAGUUUGUACCUUUGAAGGAGUACUAAAUGCGAAAUGCGACUUCUUUGCUAUCAAAGUCUGUUGAUUGCAAACAGAAAUUGGGUUCAAAUACGGAUCGAAACAAGAACAAAUCAAACCAAACGAAUUUUUCAAAAUAUGGGGAACUUACUGCGUCUCUGAUUGUGUUUGAUACAUGGAAAAGCUGCUUCAAAUCAUCAUGAUCCACACCACACAAUAUCCUAAUCUGCAGAAAGGAAAUCCUAUGAUUAAUAAAAAAUCAUUCAAUCAAAUCUAAAACAUCAAUAGAAGGUAAAUUAAUAAAAAAUUGAUUCAAUCAAAUCUAAAAAUAUCAAUAGAAGUUAAAUUCAUAAAUCUGCUACCUACCAAAAUAUCCUGAGGCAUAGCUUCAAGCAUCGACUUUUCUGCUUUCUCCUCCACCAUUUCGCCGCAUCUCCUCUUCAAUGGAGUCCUGAGAACAGAACUCGGAGAUGAAGAUUCUGUGUUACUCGAAACCAGAAUUCUCUUUCUACUCAAUGACCGCGUGACUGGAACAAACCCUAACCCUAAUUCUUCAUCACCACCCUUCAUCUGUGAUCCAUGUCUCCUCCCUAAUGCCAUUUCUUCACCGAUUCGAAUAAAAAACCAGCGUCCCAAACUCCCGAAUCCAAAAAAUUUCAGAAUGAAUCUCAACCGAACUGAGAAUCCGUGGCACGAUUGGUAAUUAUUUUGAGAGACACAAACCUGGAUUUUCGCUUGGAUCAACACCAAAUUUCAGGCUACUGCUGUUGAAAACACUCUGUGAAAACGGAAACAACCAGUCUUCUAACCGCAACUUUCCGCUCGUUAAUAUGUUACCCUAUAUAUGUUUUUGUUUUUAGGAAAAAUUGUGAAUAAAAAGUUGAAGUAUAAGCAAACCCUGGUCCCUGUGAGCACUUUCUCGAUUUCUCUAGGUUAAAGAUAUAUUUGAGGCGGUUAAAACUAGCCGUUGCAGGGUUACACGUGUCAGGAUAUGAGCCGUGGUGGGAAAGAACGUGGAUGCUGCGAUGCGGACGUGGAAGAUGUGGUCGGUCCAAGUCGGCUGGUGUCGGUUCCUUAUCUAACACGUUUCUGUUGGACACGGCGGUGUGGGCAAUUGUGGAGCGCACACGUGGCGAUGAUUAUAUGGAGACCGUGUCACGGUGACAGCUGUUUAGCGCCAGAGGAUCGUUGUGUGGAUAUCUGACGGUGGGAACGCGGGGAGAAGGCAGGGGUGGGGAGUAGGUGAUAAUUUGGCCAAUGGUUUUAUUUGACCGGGCUUCUAAAUAGGCGGCUGGCGACUUCGGAUUGGAAUUCCAUAUUAGGCCAACUAAAUGAUGAGUCAACAACGCGUCAAGACCUCAACCUUUACCAUCGAUUGGGCCCACAACAGGAAUGAAUUCGGGUUCCUUCUUGGUGAAGAACCCGAGAAGAGUCCGGGAUCCAAAGACGGAAAAAUAUCAUCACUUGGUUAGAGCAAACCUAACCCUCAUAAUAUGAACGUGUUUUUUAAGGCAGUUUUUUUUGUUAUCUAGAAAAAACAGAACGUGGAAAAAUAUAUUUAAUACCUAAAAAAUAGAAAAUAACUUUAUAUUCGUAAAAACAGAAAUUAUUUUCAUAAAUAUUUUUAAUUAUUUUAAGUUACUUUUACUUAUUUUCUAAGAUUUAUUUUUAAAAAUAAUUAUUAAAAAUAAGACAUUACAUAUAAAAUUUCUUUUUAAAAAAUACAAAUAAAAAAUAAAAAAUAUUUUAAGUUUUUAAACAUUUUAUAAAAUAUUAUAAAACAAUUCUCAAAAAUUGUUUUUUAAGUUAUUCUUAAAAAUAUUUUCCAAAGUAAAUGAAGCUUUUUUUUUUUUUUCUUCCUUUUUAUCCCAUCAUUUCAUCAUAAAUUUUAAUUAUUCCCUUAGUGACAAACUAUUUGUGUCAACAUCUUGUAAGUUAUAAACAUCAAACUACUUUCAACUGGUCGUCUUUCCAUCACUCCUCUAAUAUUAAUAUUUACUUUCCACGUAUCCUUUCCUUCGCACAACAGCCGGUUCGUCCUUAAUUUCAUUAUUUUAAUCCCACAACUUUUGCUAUCUUAUAAAGCUCAAUCACCAAACCUCUGGAUCUCAAAGUCUCAUGUUUGGUCUAACCUUGUAUCAGUUCUUUCACAGCCCUCAUGUUUACUUUCUACCCGUACCCUCCGUACCCAGAGCUUUCUCCUCUCUUUGCAUCAUAAUUUUCAAAUUCUGAAAGCUGUUGGUCUCGUUCCCAACUGGAGUGAGGGAAGCCCCCACCAAAGCUACGUUCCAAAAAAAGAGUGCAAGUGGCCGGAUUCAACCAACCUAAAUUCACCACGGAUGUAGAUAAUCAUUUUGAAUAUUUGAGUGGGGUUAUAUAAUAUUUAUAAUACAUAUUAACAGUUAUAUAUAUAUUUUUUUUUAAUUUAAAAAAUAUCAAAUAUAUUAUAUCAUAUGCUUUUUUCUAUUUUUAAAAAAAUAUAUAAUUUUUUUUAUUGCUAUCUUAAAAUUUUGAAAAUUUUCAUAUAAAUAUAAAAAAAAAGUUUUUAAAAGAUAUUAUAAAUGAAUUUUGAAUUAUGCAAAUGUGAUAAGCUUGACCAACUCAAGUCUAUCUCAAUCAAUUCAAAUAUAACCAUUUAAUUUGAAAUUAGAUAAAUGAGGUUAAGUUGAGUAUUUUGAAUUAAAGAUUGGAUUAGGUUGAGGUUGAAUUUGUUAUUUUUUUUAAUUCAGAUUGAGUUUGAAUUAAUAAUGCACGUGAUAUAAAUGAAAAUCCACUUUUAUUAAGAUUUUAACUUUUUUUUUUCUUAUAUGAAACAGUGAUUCACUUUUUUUCUCAUAAGAAUCAAAAAUAAUUUUCAACAUUUAUUUUUGUUGCAAGUUCUUUAAAAAGGAAAAUAGUAAUAAAUUAUACAAUAAAUAUAAGAAUUUUUUAAAUGUUUAUAUUAAAAAUAUAAUAAUUUUUAAAAAUUAAUUAAAUUUUUAUGAUAUUAAAUUUUUAUUAUUAUUUUAAAAGCCUUUUUAAGAAUACAAAGCAAAUCUAAUUUUUUAUAAGAGUUUUUAUAUUUUAUAUGAAGUUUUUUUAUAAAAAAUAAAAAAAUAAAAACAAUGUCUGAACCACAUGACAUGCCUUCUCCAUAUUCAUAUUGACAUACCUUAUAUUUCUCACUAGAUGACCUUAACAUUGAAUUGAAGUUUGACAACCUGAAUCCUUUACUUCUUACUGUCCUAUCAAGAUUUCUAGGUCAAAUGUUAAUUUUAGGAUAUAAUAAUAAUGUUUUGUUUAAAUUUUUAGGACUUUUUCUCUAUGAGCCAAAUAAAGUUUUUAAUUAUGUUUUUAUUCCACUUAGGAUUUUAGUAUUUUUCAUACAAAGGAAACAACAAUUUUUAGAAAAUUAGAAAAUUUUUGCUAAUUUUUUUUCCUUAAAAGGUUCUAUCAUAAAAGCGUUGACCCUCGAGUGCCUUCCAUGGUGGCGCUUAAGCACCCUUGGACCUCGAACUACUUUUGAUCUCCGGUCCACAACCCAAAAAUUCCUCUUCUAGUCACUUCCGACAUGUGCUUACCACCAAAGCUACUUUUUCUCUUCUUUUAACCUCACCUUUGAAUUACUUUAACACAAACUACUUUCGAUUCCAAUUGGACACAAUUACUUAAAUGUGUUUUCGUCCUCAUACCAUAUUCGUUUGAUCUCAUUUAAUCUUUCUUAUAAGUAAACUUCAAUCUCUUUUUAUGAAUGCUUUUGAAUUUAUUUAAUUGUGUGAUUUAAAAAUGGUUUUCUGUUUGUAUGAUUUAAAAACAGUUUUUUGUUUUUAAAAAUAUAAAAUUAUUUUUAAAUUUUUUUAACAUUAUUUUAUUGUUGUUUAAAAAAGUAAUUUUUAAAAAUAAAGUGAAAUAUAAAAUAAUUUUUAAAGAACAAGUAUGAGUUAUUUUCAUCAAUUUUUAAAAAUAAAAAACAAACAUGAGUUGGUUUAACAUGUUUUCUAAAACUUGGUUUUAAAAAUUAUUUUUAAGUUAAAGAAUAAAAAAUAAUUUUUGAAAACAAAUUUUAGAAAACAUAGUCAAACCAACCCUAAAUAUUCAAUACAUUUUUAUUUUUAUUUUCCCAGUUUUAUUGGUUUAGUUUUUUUUGAAUUAUUUUAUAUUUAUCUUUCACAUGACUUUUUUUUUUUUUUUUUUUUACAAAGAAAACUAGUAAUUAUGCAUAUUCAUUUAAAAAUUACAUACAUGUUGAUAUAAAAAAUAUCUUUAUUAAAAAAAAUAGAGGAUAAUACCAUAUUUAAAUCAUUUGUUUUAUCUAACAUAGAUAUUAUUAGGUUUGAAAUUAGGUUUGAACUUAGUGGAUUCUCACAUAUUCCUACAUAGUUAAGAACACACUACACAUAUAGUGAUAUAUAUAAUGUAAUUUCUACAUAUAACUGAUGACUCAAUUUUAAAAUGUGUCUAAAUAGGAAGAGUGACAUGUAUAGUGUCGGAACAUCUGAAAUAUUAUAAUUAUGGAUGAAAAUAUUGGUAAUCAUAGAUAUAUUAAUCAUUGAAUUUUAUGGAUAUAUUGAAAAAUAUUGAUGAAUAUUUUAACAAAAAAAUUAAUCAAAUGAAAAUUGAUCAGAACUCAUAAAAAUGUUGAAAAAAAUUCAAAGAAAUGAUAUAAGAAAUAAUAAUAAUAAUAAUAAUAAUAAUAAACAUUUAAUGUUGUUUUGUUGAAAAAUUAAUAAAUUACUAUAAGGGAAAUGAUGAUAUUUAAAUAAACAUUUCUUAUUUAAAAAUAUUGAUUAUUUUAUUUAUGAAUUUAUAUUUGGUUUAUAUUUAAUUAGUAUACAAAAUAGAUAACAAGAUAAAUAAAAUUAAUUUAUUUAUAUAUAUAGAGAUAGAUAGAUAAUUUUAUGUGGACAUUUAAAAUAAAAUGAGAUUUGGUUCAAUGGUAUAGACUAUUUAGUACAAAUCCAAGAACCUAGUUUUAGUCCUUUCUUUGUAUAUUUUUUAUAUUUUUAUUUAAGUGUAAGUGUGUAACUAAGAGCACAAUCCCACAUCCAAAGUUUGAAAGAAAACAAAGCUCCACACUCUUGUACUAUCAUAGUUAACAAGUGUAGGCUUGGGCUUAAUUUAACUUUUGGCCCAUUGGAUAUAACUAAAAAAUUUAACUUGUAUGGGUUGGGCUUGUUUUAACUCCUGUCGUUGCACACAUUUAAAAAAAUUUCAGGCUGGGCUAGUUGGACUUGUCCACAUCAUCGAAAUUCUGGCCAUUGGAUCACCUUACUUUCAAUUUUGGCCGUUGAUUAGAGGAAGAGGGAAGUAAUGGAAGCAUGACCGAUAUUUCCCAAAAAAUCAUUGAUUUUUCUUUAUAUUUCUCCGAAUUUUUCAAAAAUUGUCAAUAUUUCUUCAAUUUUCUACGAUGGUGUGUGAUCCAAAAGAAACAUCAUCAACUUCAUUAGUCAUAUCGAUGUAUUGUCAAUAUAUCAACAACUUUUGUUGAUUUUAUUCAAUUUUUCCUAUGAUCAAGCUUUUGGUGGAGAUUUUUUAUUUGGGUAUCAUCAAUAUUCGAUAUUUCGACGAAAUAUCGACAACAUACUGAGUAAAGCCCCCCACAACUUUAAAAUAUGUCUACCAAAUUAAGAAAAGUUUAUAUAUAUAUAUAUAUAUAUAUAAAGUAUUAGGAACUUCUACCCCUAAUUACCAAUAUGAGAUAUCAUGUUAGUCCCUAUACAAACACAAUAUUUGUCUUGUGGUUCAAAAGACUCCAUAUGUAGACAAUAAUAUCCUUAUUGCGUCCUAUGAACUUGUAAGAUAAGACAAACAAACAUCUCUUAUAAGCCCAAAUAGGGCUUUAUAUCAAGCAUUUAUGAUAACCUACUCCCUUUCAUGUAAAUAUUAUUUACUUAAGUCUUGUAAUUUGAACUUGGAAAUGUGUUAGAGUGGUGAUAGUAAUUGUAUUAUCAAGUGAAGUCCACAAUGGUAAUGUCCAUUCACAUCCACGGUCUACUUGGCUAGCUUAAUAUCUUGAAAUGAAAAAACACUCUUAAUAAAGAUGACAUGGUGAGAGGUAUAUAUAUUAUUUGAUGGCAAUAUUUAAACAAUUUUAGGCACUUUAAAGUACUAUUGUAUGCUACCAAUGUGAAAGAAAAAACUAAUUACAGAUCUAUGGAGGAGCGAGAAGAAAGAUUAGUUAAUAAAUAAAGAUUGAUUGGCAAUAUCUAGACAACGAAGCAAUCAUCCCAAUCUUCAUGCCUUUUCAGAUAUUAAUGGCUUGGAAAUCAAGAUGAGUACCAUACAAACAUGGACUUACAUUAUGUAUCUUGGAGUUAACCCUAGUUUAUAGAGUAAGGUAGUGUUUGUUUUUUUGGUUUUUUGCUGAAAAUCAUUUAGUUUUAGAAUUUAGGUUGUUUGUUUUUUUUACUUUUUCAUGACUUAUUAUAAACUUUUUACUAAAUAGAAAAAGCCAAAAUAUGUGGCUUUUUCUAAAUAGAAAAAAUAACACAAUGGUUUUUUUUACUUUUUAAUACUUAAUAGAAAUAAAAUACUAUAAAAACAAACAACCUAAUAUUUAAUACUAUUAAGUAUUAAUGUUCUAUUUAAAAUUAAGUAAAAAAACAAACACCACCUAAAUGUAGACAACAUUUUGUGGUUCAACAUUUUAUGAAGCUGAUCAUUAUUUAGCAUAUUUUUAUCACAAUUGUGAAAACAAUUAGUUGUGAUCCUUUCUCUAAGAGAUUUGUCCCACCACCAAAAAUCAUACCUACUAUUUAUUGUGAUGAUAUAGGGAUUGGUACUUAUCUCUUUAUGAACCCAAUGUUUAAUUCUCACAUAAAAUAUAUUUCAAUAUAUUUUCAUUUUGUCAGAGAACAAGUAUCACAAGGAAAACUUCGGGUCAUACAUUGGUUCCUUUAAACUAAUUUUUAUUAUAACAAAAUAUAGAAUUUGUAUUUAAUCUUGUCUUGAAAGGUUUGAUCUGGUUACAAAUUCAAACACAACUUAGAUGGAUAAUGUGCAACCCAACUUCCAAUAUUUCUUCUAGGAAAAUUAAUGAUCAGUGCACAAAACAACUUGUAUACUUUAAAAAAGGAGAAAAAAUAAAAAAGAAAAAAAGAAAAAAAGAAAAAUGUAACUGUAUCCCUAUUUCCUUUGAUUUCAUUUCUUGCCACGAAAUUGGGUAUAGAAUGUUUAAUCAUUUUCCUUAAUUUCAAACCCUCAAGACAUGUCUGUAUGAGGACAGAGUUACAUAUUUCUGAUCAUCAUGACUGUUGAUGAUCCUUAUUAGCACCAAGUCUUCAAAUGCAUUGGUACAAUUGAACUGGAGUCCUUUUCAUACAAAACUAUUUUGGCUUUUGGGGAUGCUCUCCAUUUAAGAAAACAGUGCUUAUAUACUUGUGCAUCGACAUGACCAAAUUGCAUGUGACGGUUUUUGGGAGUGAUCAGAGCUAGAUUCUCCAAAAUUAUUGCCUUCUCCAGGAAGAGCCUCACCAAUUCUAGUUCGGGCCUUUCAAACUUGAAACCCUUCAACUUAACAUAUUUCAGGAACUCAAACUUCAGUGGCUGGCUAUCUUCUUGGAAUUUUUUCUUGGCAUGUAACUCCCAGUAGUACCCGCAUCCAAAAGAGAAGUUAUUGAGCUGCAUAAGAUUCGGGAAAGUAAUAAGAAACCAGUCGAAUUAAAGAUAUACAUAUAAGUUAAAAUUCUAAUGAAUACACUCACAUCAAUGAAAACCUUCUCGAUGCAUGGGCAGUUUCUGAUAAAAGAAGAAAUGUCAUGAGGAUUGCAAAAGCUGGUUGCAUCCAUGAUCAGAUGAAGUUCCUUCAUAUUCCCUAAAGAGAACUGCAUAGCUCUGAGAUCUCCCUUCUCAUACUUUUGAGAUAGCCCCUAGAUUACAACAUCAACACAAACCAAUAAGAAUGAGUAAAAACCAUUAUAAUUGAAGUUUUGAGACUAUAUAUAUAAACCGAAGGAGAAGAAUUACCUCAAGAAAUGUACUGGAAACAGUGAGACAAGCGACAUGAACAAGAUUCAGUAGGAGAUUUCUGGUCCGAACCAUCUCCAAACAACUUCUUGCAGGUGGGCAACAGAGAAUCACAUCUUUCAGCUGUGGUAGACUGCCAUUGAAACUCAGCUUGCUGAAAUAGCCGUGGUAGAAAAAGGAGCGAAGUGUGGGAGCCGAAAUAUGAAUACUAGAAAGAUCAGUACACUCCACCACCUUCAACUCCCUGAACCUUUUCAACUUUCCAGUCGAAAUCUUCAAAUGGAAGACUUUAGAACAGUGCAGUAGCUCCAAAUUUUCCAGCAGCAAACAGUUGGCAAACACUGUCUGAAUCAAACCCUCAGAGGCUGGCAUUUUCCUGAGGACAAGAGUGUUCAAGGAACACAAACCUUUAGGCUUGAGAGGCAGAUGGAGUUCACAGAAGGACAGCUUUAGAAUCCUUAUGGAUUCAACAUCAAUAAGAUCAGAAACAAUCUGAAACGGCUCUUUCCCUUGGCGGAAGUCCAAAUCGAGCUCUUCCACUCCCUUUUUAACCGAUUUCCUGAUCCAGCUCUCAGCUUUGGACUCCAUGGCAUCGUGAUUGAAAUACAGUCUGAAGCUGUCGAUCUUAGAACCCAAAUGGUGUCUGAAGACGCUGUUCAAGAUCCACAUGAUCUCCUCACGCCCUCGUCCUUUCGCGAAGUCCUCGUCGAAAUGAAGCUUCCGGUUUAUAAACCAUGAAUUUCUGAAGCGCAUGGACACAGUUCCCAAUUGCACCACCUUCUUGAUCGGGAGAAAAGAGAAGAUUUUCUCAACAACAUCAUAAGGAAGAUCCUUCUGAGGGUGGUUUCUCUUGAAUCGCUUCGGAGCUGGUGAAAGGGACAGCUUUUGGGGCUGACUACUCGGACCUGCCAUGGAAUCACCGAGGCAAAGAAAAUACAGAUUGUUUCAUAAAAAAUUUAAGUGUGUUUUUUUGUGAUAAAUCGAAGGAAAUUGUGAGAAAAUGAGAUAUCUCUUUGCUGGAAAUGGAGGAGCUCUGAGAAAAACCAGUGACGUUGCGCACUCCUGUUACUCCAACAGCGGACGAUACUGGCGGAGAUGGCUGCGUUUGGCUCGUGGGUAUUUAUAAAACGGUGUCGUUCUGACGAUUUGAUGAAGACAGGUGGAGUCCUUUGUCUCUUUCUAUGAAAAUCACUUUCCUUUUUUCUGGAGCUGAUUUUCGUAGUAAUUAUUUUUUGUAGCCUCUUAAUCACAUUUCCAUUUUUCUUUACAUCACUUUACAAAAGAAAAAAAAAAGACCCUUUAUCUGUUGCAUACAAAAGUUAAGUAAAAAAGAGAAAGGCAUUAUUUUACCUUUUUUUUUUUAUAAUUUUAAGGAGGGUGAAAAAAAAAUAUUUUUUAUUUUAUUUAAAAUGGUAUUAUCUUAAAUAAGAGAACCAUUAUUUCCCUUUUGCUGUAAUCACUUUAAUUAAUACAUAUUAAAAUAUUAUGGAAAAGAAAUUUUAAUUGACAUUUAUAAAACAUUAUCUACAAAAGGAAAAAGUUUACCCAUAAAGAGUAAGCAAGGAAAUAAUUUUCCCUUUCUUUCUCAUUCAAAUGAAUAAAGUAAUAAUUUUUUUUUAUAUGGUAUUAAUAAUUAAAAUUUUCUACCACAAAGAAAAUGGGUCAUUUAUAAUUUUAAUAUAGGCUAUAUGAUUUAAGUGGGUAAUGAAAUUUAUUUUAUUUUAAUAUUUGUGAGAAAUUUGAUACCUAUAAUCUCCAAUUAUUUUUCCUUUUCUCCCUUGUUAAUUUAGAAUUAAUAAAUUCAAAUUUAUAAAUACAAAAUUGAUUAAAAAUAAAAAGUAAAAUAGAUUUUAUAUUAAAGUGAAAAUCAUAAAUCCUUUUUUAUCAUUAAUUUUUUUUUUCUUAAAAAGGGCAUAGUAACAUAAGUAAGAUUAAUUAAUAUAGCAUUAUUCUAAAAAGAAAGGUAAUUGUGAUUAAUGGUUGAGGGUGUGUAAUUUGGUUGAGUAAUGAAAUUUUAUUCAACAUUAAUAUGUAAAAAAGAAUUUGAUGCCAUCAUUUUGAAUUAUUCUACUUUUUGAUAAUUUAGUAUUGAUUUUAUUUAAAAUUAAAAUAUUUUCGCACAUCAUUUGAAGGCACGGUUUGGCCUUGUACUAGAUAAAAAUCAGUUCGAUGUUAGAUUUUUCUAUUCAAUUAAACAUAACCUGUUGAUAUCAACCAACAUAACUAAAUUCAACAAUAAGGAAUUUCCAAUUUAAGACAAUUGAAAAAGGUAUGGCAAAUGAAAUAGCAAAGCCUCCAAUAUAAGCAAUGAACCCAACAUCAGACAAAUAAAUUGAAAAAGCACCAAGGACAAGCCCAAAAAAGGGGAUUGGAUGCAACAUUGCGAUGGAUUUUCAUGUGUAAUGUACGCACAAAUUUCUUAAAUUGGGUGCAUUCAGCCUCUCUCCUUUCUCUUGAUGUUCUCUAGGUUACAUCAAAAAGUUUGAUGUUACAUGUACAAUGAAAAGGUAAAAUGAUAGUAAUCUAUCCUUGACAAAAACUGAUGGCCUGUAUGCAGUUAUACAUACCUUUUAGAGUUGCAUGAGGACCGUGAGUGUAGGUUUCUGUCUUUAGAUUAGCUGCUUUAAGUUCCUAUGGGAACAUUCUCAGCUGCUCAAAUACGAGAAACUCCACACUGAAGCACAGUUUUCAUCACCUACAGAAAACAUAAACCAAUUUUAGGCUUGGUCGUCUCAAUCAGGAAGGGGAUCCUCCAGAUUCCUCCAGAUUAGGACCCCAUUUAUUGACGUCACAUACAUUGUUCUCAUUUUUCUUGUAGGUAUUCUUAAAUUCAAAUUCGUGAAGAAGUCAGCAACAAUAUUCCAUUCAGAACAAGCAAGUGCAGCUCGGAGAGUAAAAGUGACCUUUCAAACCAAAAUCUGUAAGCUAAGUGUUAAAAACAACAUUUUCCUUUUGCUGAUAUAGCUAAUUGGCUUGAGGUUUUUUCAGACAAUCACCACUAUUGUCUCAAGUUUGCCUAAUCCAUGGUAACAAGCAUGCAGAAAUGCUCCUCAAUCUCAGGCGACUUUCAUCAAAUUCUAGAAAAUUUCAACUCUCUUACUUUCUCAUGCCUAUAUCUUUUAUUAUUUUUUGGAUUCUAAUCAUUGUUAUAAUCCAAUUUUGAAUUGUUUUGUCAUUGUUGUGUACUGGUUUGCUAACCCGAGAUCAUUGUCUCACCUGAUUUUUGAAAUUAGGGAUUCCUCAAGUCAUACAAAUUAUUCAAAUUUGAAGUACCACAAACUUCAUGAUAGCUUGGCUGUUCAAUAUGUUAAUCACAUAAAAUGGAAAGGUGGAAAAUGAACCCUGUAGUAACACCAUAUGGAUUUAGGAGUUACCAGAUAUACCAAGGCUCAAAUCCUCAUUGGAUUCAGGAAUUCCAAAUCGCCGGUGGCCUGAUGAUGAGGCAGCCAUUGGCAGAAAUGGAUGGAAAGAGAAACCAUUAAUGGUGUCUGUAUAUAAGACAAAAAGCAAGUUAAAAUAGGUAAGAAACCCAGAAUAGAUGCAAAAUUAAAUUUAUCAUGGCAAUUUCUAGCAAAUAACAUGUCAACUAGUCAUACCAGAUGCAGCUUGAAAGCAUGAUAUCCACUGCCCAGUUUGAAGAUCAUAAAUAUGAACCAAGCCGUCCUGGAACCAAAGGUCACAACGAGAAAAAAGAAAAAGAGAAAAAAAGAGGUAAUUGAUUUUGUUAUAACACCAUGAUCAACCACAGCAAAAGGAUGAAGGCUAAAAUGAUACCUGACCACCUGUACCAAGAUGUCGGCCACCGGGCUCAAUGUCAAAAAAUAUCCUCUGGUUGGUUGUUUCAGUUGAUCUAUAAAGCCUAAUUACAAGACGCAGAAAAGUGAAAGCACUUAAAUCUCAUUGCAUUUCAACAUAUUUAAUUACAUAAAGAAAAAUGGAGCCUGCCUCGGUUGACCACAGGAAAUCUCAAAUUCAAGAAAAAUAAACAUGGAACAUACAAGCAAAAGGAUUCUGCUAGACAUACUUGUACACAGUGUUGACAGUGUUGCGUAUAUCCCAACACAGUAUAUAAGGGUCCUGUAAGGUUUUCAAGGAUAAAACUUUGUCAAAUGCACUUACAAAAUAAAAACAAAUGUACACUUGAUAUCAACAUAUUAACAAUCAAAUAUGAACUUCACCAGAUCAAGAUAAUGUUAACUGUGGAGGUCCUUGAAGAUCACACAAGAUACAAAGACUGACCAUNNNNNNNNNNNNNNNNNNNNNNNNNNNNNNNNNNNNNNNNNNNNNNNNNNNNNNNNNNNNNNNNNNNNNNNNNNNNNNNNNNNNNNNNNNNNNNNNNNNNACUGCUGAAGAGCACAAUUUUCAUAAGAUGUAAAGCAAUGCAAAUAGAUUUUUAAGAGCUAAUCAAGUUUGGGAAUGUGGAAAGGAGGAACCACAUUAAUGGCCUCAACUUCGCUGCAUUAACAGCAAACAAGAACAAAUCCUUUUAUAGACUUUCCUCUAUUGUACUCACCAAAGUUUGGUUGUGAGCAUAUGAUUGGGGCUAAAUGAACUCAGUCUCCAUUCUUUCACCACGUAAUCAACUGAGUAGCAUCAACCAUUUCUAUGAUUAUGCUCAUCAAGCUGCAUGGGCAGAGAACUGAACAUUAGGCCAGGAUCCACAUAUUCGGCCUUAAAUGUGCUAUACUUGAUAGAGUCAGGGGAUGCACCUUCUUUACAUCUCCCCACGAUAAUCAUAAGAUUGAGGCGGUUGCAUGGAAUUGUUAUUUGGAGGCUUCAAUCCAAAAUCUUCUGUUCGGUUGUUUUGUCUAACAAUGGCUUCAGAAAUUCAAUUACAUUCCUAGUUCCCAAAUCAACCGAAACAAUUUCAUGGUAAAAGCAAUAACUUCUAACUCCAUAGAUUUGGAGUUUCAGAUCAAAUCCAAACCCUGUAACUAAAUCCAAACUCUAUAACUAAACGCAAUCCAAGUGCUCCUCCAAGAGCAACAGAUUCCACAUAAGCCAAUUUACUAAAGUUAUCAAACUGUUACGAAUAGUUUAUAAUUAUUAAACUGUAACAUAACAUGCAGAGUGAUCCAACACCGCAUCAAUACGUUCACCAGGACUUGGUCGUCAAAUUCAAAGUUGAAUCAUUAAUUUUACUUCAGGUUUUGAACGCAUUGAGUUUAUGAAAUUCUUGAUAUGAAAAUCAUCAAUCGCAUUACGAGAUUCUAUCCAGAAUUAACAUCGCCGAAACUGAAACUAUCGACAUUUCCCACAGAUUUGGCAAAGGAUGAUCCAAUAAACAUGCAAAUACUAAAACUAUAUUAAUAAUAAUAAUAAUAAUAAUAAUAAUGCUCUGAUUGGUUUUUUAGAAAUUUAAAUAAAUAAAAAAUGGAAAACCUCACGUCAUCCAGAAAAAUAAAUAUAUUUUACUCGGUUGACCAAGGCUUUCGUUUUUCUGAACCUUUGUGAUUCAAAGAUUUUAAAGUUUUCUCAGCAACCAAACAGAGGAUAAACCAAAAAAGACGCGCAAAAUCCAAUUGCACAAGCACCUGCAAGCUAGACUAAGCCAAAAACUACAUAGGCUAAGUGAGCACGAAGCCAAAUGAAUUCAAGUUUAACCUGAACACAUAGAAGAUUAGACAGAGCACCUGACUGUGAAGAGAACAACAAGGCGAGAGAGCGAAGAAUGGUCAUGGAAAGCUCUGGAAACUCUCUCGUAGAAGCUGAAACUCCUCAUUUUCUUGGCUUUGAAACCUUGCGCACUCGGAUCUACUCACAGUUGUCGCAGCCUUAGAGCUGAAGAAGAGGCUUUCAAGUUUUGUGGAGAAAUAAAGAGAGUUAGAGAGAGGUGUUUUGUUUUGCUUUUGAUUCCAAAUUGAACAAAUGGUCAGAAAAUUGAACAAAAGGAGAAGUCCAGGAAGGUGGGAGAGAGGGAGAGAGAGAGAGGUAGGAAUAUGACCUGUGUCACGCAGCUUCCAGCUACUCAUUUCAUUGACUUGGCGCGCAAGCCACACAAAUGAAACGUGUGUCGCCCCUGUCGCUCUAGUCACCGACACGUGGAGAGCUGGUGGGCUGUUAGAUCUACUCAUCACAUGCGCUAUCAGGGCACCGUCCAUUUUGAUCCUUUUUCCAAACAACAAAAACAUAUGCGAUGCUAAUCAGAAACAUAUGAAAAACCGUUUCUGAAAACAAAAUACGUUUUUUUUUAAAUAAAAUUUUAAAUUUUAAAAUAUUUUAAUUUUUUUAAAUGUUUGCAAAAAUCUCAUAAAAAUAAUUUUAUAUCUAUAUAAUUACUUUUUCCAAAUAAAAACAAUUUAAAACAAUUAAAAUAUAUUCUAAAAAAUAAAAAUAAAAAUUUAAAAUUUUUUCAAGCUUUAUCCUCUUCCAGAAUGUUGGUUGUAAUUAUUUUGAUUUAUACAAUGUUCUUAUAUUCUUAAUUAAAACCAAAUAAAGAAACAAGUGGAGAAGAAGGAAAAUGCGAAAACACAUGCUUUUGACCUAAGCAUUCCAGGAAGGCUGCCAUAAUAUUGGAGGGUGGCGUAUUAACGAAAAGUGAAUUGACUAAAUCGCCUCCAGCUGAAGAGCUUGUUCUAGAAGGAUGACUGUGAUUAAUGUUAUUUAAUUGACAUUAGAAGAAACAGCAUGCAUAAGGGUUUGGUUUGAAAAGGAGUUGCAUUGUUCCACAUGGGGCACCCUUGUGAUUUUGCCAACUACUCAAACGGCUAUGUGAGAAAACAUAUAAAAGUUGUUGAUUACUUUAAUUUAUUCAACCGUUGCUUUAAGAUUUGCAUGAAAGGCGCCGAUCAUUAAUGAAGCACUUAAAAAGUGGGUUGUCCAUUCCGAAUCCUCCCGUUGUACUUUCAAAUUAUAAGUCUUUUUUAGUAAAAAUAUGAUAAAUAUCCCAUGCAAAUUUAAGAAUUUAGCAUUAUAAGGGCAGUUUUAGACCAAAUUCAUAAUUAUCAAUUAAAAAAUUUUUGUUGGGAAUUAGUUCAAGGAAUAUUUUAUAUUAUAAUAUAUUUGUUUUGAUUGCAAAAUCUUACAUAUAAAUUACAAUUUUUAUUUUAUGAAAGAAGAUAUUUUAAUUUUUAUUAAUAUUAAUAUAAAAAAACCACUGAGAAAAGUUGGCUUUGCUCCUAAUAUUAUUGAAACAUGUAAGUUAAUCUUAUCAUUAGUUUAGAUUUUACUUAAAAGGGCAUGAAGUUAAUAGGUAUUUAAAAAUAAAUUUAAUAAAUAUGUAAAAAUUAAAAUUUGUAUGAAUAUAUUUCUUAUUUAUUUUUUUAAAAGAUAAAAACUCUCAUGAAAAAAAAAUAUAGAUUAAUAAAAGUCCCAAAUUUCUUUUUUAUUUUUAAGAAUAUUAUAUAAAAUAUUUUUUGGGUUGAUUGAAUCACAUUAAAACCUCGAAUGUUGUAUUAUUAUUUCAUCUUUAUGUUUAUGAUUGAACUUUGUUUGUAUUAAAGUUUUCAUUGGCACAACAAUUUUAUAUCCUUAAAAAUUAAAGUUAAAAGUUUCUAAAUUUCAUAUAGCAAAUAUUUUGUAAUACCUUAAUUUUUAUAAUUAAUUUUAUUUUCAUCAUAUGUAGGAAAAUCCAACUUUAGUGCUAUUACCUCGUUUAUAAUUAGUAGGAUAUGAUUCUUGGAUGAGGAUUUAUAUUUCAUUUAUUUGUUGUUAUUUAUUGUUGGACCGACAAUUCUAACAUGUUUAAAGGCUAGCAUUACAAUAUAUCAUUAAGGAUAACAAUGGAGAUAGUGUUUUUUUAUGUAGCAUUUCUCAUCUUACUCCUAAUAGAACGGUUUGUCUUAAAUAUAAAUGGGUUGGAGACAAAUUUGAAAAGUAUUUUAAAAUCCAAGGUAGGUUAGAGGGAUUGAAUAUGACAUUAUCCCAUUCAACCACUAUCAUAUAUAAUAUUAAAUAAAAAUAUUUUAAUUAAAUAUUUGCUUCAUUUUUCAACUUUUUUAAAUAUAUAUAAAAUAUUACUUUUUCUUAAAAAUAAAUUAUAAAUAUUUAUAAUAUUUAUUAAUUUAUAAUUUUAUUUAUUUUUAAUACAUUUUGUAAAUAAAAAAAAGUUUGAAAAAAAUAAAAUAGAAAGGUUAAACAUGAUAGAACAAUGAAAGUUUUCCACACUCCCAUCACCCCAAUUUAACUCUAUAAAUAUAAAUAAAUGAGGUGGGUUUAAGAUGGAGUGAUUGGUCCGGAACUAGUCUUGUGCUCUAUUUAUCAUUCUCAUGUCCCUCCGUGAGAUUCAAUAAAAAAAAAAGGAAUUAUUCAUUUUUUUUUGGUACUUUCCACAUUUUAUUUUAUAAAUUUUAUGAUUAAAACAAUUAGAGACAUCAUAAGUUAUGUCGUUGAAAAUUAAAAUUCCCAAUUUAUGAUUGGGGUGUGAGAAAGUGACUUUCUUGGAAGUACUGGACGAUCGGUGAUCCUCUAGACAGGUCCCAUUUAUCAUUUUUAGGAUGAGGGCAUUGCGUGUUAAAAUUGUUUUAAUGUUGGCUUUUAGAAAUGCUGUUCAAGGUUGUCAUCUUAUGAAAUUACAAAUAUAUAGAUAUACAUACAUGUUCCUCCCAGACAACCUUCAUUCUCAAGUUCAAGUUUCUAUCACAUCUUAACUAGCGGCAUGUUUGUUUUCAUCCGAAAUGGAAUUUGCUAUAGCCAUUCUUUCUUGCGUGAUUUGUACCCCCUCUACAAUUGUUCAUACAUCAUUCCUGCCUAACUCCAAUCAUCACAAUAGCGUAUAUCAUCAUUGAUUACGAUACUAAAAAUAUUUGUUUAUUGUGUUCAAAAUAGCUCUAAUCAUUAAUAUUUUUUAAAUUUUUUCUAAGGCUUUGUUUCUAUUUUAAUUUUGUUUUUGUAAAUUAGCUUGAUUUCUCUCUAUUUGUGAUAUUUGCCUUUUUAUCCCACCCCAAUCCCAUCGAGUACACUGGUCAAACGUCAUCGUUUCACCCACACAAACGAUUAUUGAUAACGAAUAUAUAAGCUAUCACAUCUAUGAAGAACAUAGCAAAAUACGAUAAUUUUGUGUUAAUUAUAGAAUCUCAUGAAUCAUCAAGUAUUUGAACUCAAGUUAUCCCUUAUCCAUUCUCAUCCCAGCUCGUUGAGAGCCCUCGAGUAAAUUACGUUGAUCAUAAAUAAAUUUAAAAUGUUCAAAUUUUAAUUAUGUUUAUUUUUUAUUUUUUAUAUUUUUAGGCAACCAAAUAUAACCUUAUGGUCCAAAGAAAAAAAAAAUCCCACAUUAAAUAAUUUUAAUGUCAGUUUGAAUUAACAAAAGUAAAGCAUAUGUAGUCUAAUCUUCAUGUACUAAAAUCAUUAAAAAUAAGUUUCAAAAAUUCAAAAUUGCGAAGCGUCUGCCAGGAAUAUAGCAGGACUAUGGACCAAUUUUCCAUUUAGAUUGUGAGAAAUCCCUUCCGCUGAGAAUGUUCAUGAACUCGUACCAGGAGAUGAUGAUAUGUUUUCAUCACGCCCACCGUGUACCCUAUGGCAAUCUGGCUAUCACAGUCACGUGACGGACACGUGGGCAUUUGACAUUUUGGGAAAAAUUUAAUUUAGUGCUUCAGAAAAAGCUGGUGGGCAAACCACUCAACUAGUCACGUUACCGGUUACCUCAAACCUUUUGUUAAAUGUUUGGAUUUGUUGAUUAAAAUUAGGAAAUGUACAUGAACAUUGGUAUCAUACAUUACAGACAAACCCAUUACUCAGAUUUUUAUCACUCUCUCCAAUGGGAUAAUUUCCCCUCUAUUUUCUUUAAUUAAUCAAGGUUAACUGAAUCUAACCCCUUGCCGGAAAAUUCACCUUUUAUCGCCGGAAAACUGAUGAUUUCUCGCCGGAGAUAUAUCAAUCUCUAUCAAGUUGUCUUCUUCAACGUGGAACAUUGCAUCAAGCUUGCCGUCCAAUGCUAUCUCAAUCAACCCUUCACGGUCGUCUUGGUCCCACCUGAAGCUCAUAUUCUCCGGUGAGUUCCAGCCGUUGCUUGCCGGGAAUUCACCGUCCGACGAGGUAUCGGAGUCAGAUUCCGGGUAGCAAAGCGACAGGGAUGGGUAUCUCUCGAGUCCCAGGAAGCGGGUCUCUUCUGUUACAUUCAGAUCUUCGUCUUCUUCGCCCUCGAACUCUUCGUAUAUCACCUCCAAUGGCGCUCUCACGUUCCACCCGACGAACGAAUCACAGAAAAAGGGUUUCGUGUCAAAAUCGGAGUGAAUUUCGGGCCAUUUUUCAGGUUGUGGAUGGACGCAUUUGAGUUCUCGUCCUCUCAUAUCGGGUUGUUCCGGUUCGUUAGAACUGGGUUCCCCUUCAACCUGUUGGUUCACUCCUAACCGUAGAAGAGUCAACAACAGAACCCCGGUGGAGAUCAGUACGGGUGAGAAAACGAUCCCCAGGAAAAUCCUGGGGAAAUAGAGGAGAAUCAGAAUAUACAGCGUAACAAUACAUGAAAACAAUGGGUCAGACGAAAGAGACGAUAGGCAAGAAAACGCUUUUGCGAAGAAGUUCAUCGCUUCAAUUAGACCCAGAGUGGAAAUGGAAUCCAAUUCCCAUGGACCCUCCUCCAUGAAGAAUACAACUUUCCUUGAAAGCCAAUGCCGGAGUGCAACUUUCAAGGACAACCCAAGAGAAAAAAACUGAAACCCAUUGGAGUAAAGACCAGAGGAGGGAGGAAGAGGAUGAGAAAUGGAAUGGAGAAUUUAAAAGCAGGAGGAAAAGAGGGAUGGGGUGGGGGGUUUUACAAGGUUGGCUUGUGGGGUUUAGGCCUUGAGGGAGAGAGAACCUUUUGGGAGUGCGCAAGAGCAAGGCAUGGAAUAUCUAAGAGUGAUGGGGAUAUGAGUGCAAUUACUUUGAUAACCACUCUUCACCCCCCUUUCUACGCAUCUUAGCCUCAAUGUCAUCUCACAAUACAGAUUGGGGCACCAUUUCAUUUCAUUUUAUUUUAUUUUAUUUUAUUUUUUGCAUGAAUCUUGAGGGGGAAGAAUCAAGAUCUUACUCACAGCCACAUGAAUUGGUCAAAUUUGUUUGAAGGAAGAAAUUGACUAACAAAAUUUGAAGAAAAAGCAGUGCAAGACUUUGUAGAGUUGGUGUGCACUCAAUUAUCAAUGAAUUAAUUUUCAGAAUUGACUGUGGAACAACAUCCUCAGCUCUUGUUCAAAACUUUUACUCCCAAUGUUCAAACUCAUAUCUUCAAUGUUACCCAAAUGAAUUCCAUUGGUGAUUAAUAAAUAGCUUUGAAUUCAGAAUAUGAAUUCUUUUUCUAUUACAAGGGCUUGUAUGUUUCAUGAAAAAUGGAAUGAUUUCAUUUUUGUAUUUCAUGGAAUGUAUUGCCACAACAAUCCAUUGGAAUUUAGGGCCAUUAUAAAACAAAAACAAAGUCAUGUCAAAUAAAUACUUUGGUUUUUCUGUUGGGAAGAAUAAAGUUUUGCUUUUGUGUCAGACACCCAUCAUUUAAUACUGCUAUCUUUAAAUAAUGUAAUUUCUUUUAUUUAACUUAUAGCAUGAAAAUAUUAAUUUCGCAAAAAAAAAAAAUGAAAAUAAAUUGAUGAAAAACAAUUGAGAAAAAAGGAAUCCGGUCCUGCAGUUUCAGUGGCAGUGAAGUAAAAAAGAGGGAAAUGGAAGGCAAAUUUAGAUCUGAAUUGGGUUGGGAGGCUCUGGUUCAUAAAUUUUCUAGGACAGUUUCAUCACCCUUUGAAUUAUUUCUUUCCUUUUUUCAUGGUUCACUUUUGCCACUCUCCUUUAUUGCCCAUCCCCCUUUCUUUUCAUUGCCUUAUAAGUUUCAAUCGUCCUUUUUCUGUGAUAUGGAACUUGUCUUCUAAGGUGGGGAACUUGUUGAAUACCUACUUUUUCUAUACCCUCUCUGAAUUUUGUUGGUAUUUUUAAUAAAUUAAUUGAAAUUUAAACUUCAAUUAUGGUUUUUUUUAGUAAUGUAAGUCAAGAAUUUAAAAAUUUUAGAAAAUUCAUUUUAUAUUAAAAUUAUGGUUGAAAUGGGAAUUGAUGUGAUGAUAUGUAUUAAUAUUUGAAGGAACCAUGACCCGACUCUAAUGGUUCGGGUACAAUAAGUAUGAUGAAUUUCUCAUAUGCCAACAAAUGGAUUGACCCGCUUGAUGCCCUUUCUUCUCGAUGAUUAAGACAAAAUCAUUGUUAUUUUCUCUAACCCUAAUUUAGAAUAUAUGGAAUCAUAGAUAGAGCAAAAACAGAAAUUGAGGGAGACAUGAUAUUCAAAUAUCUGUACGACUUAAUUAUAAUAAUUUAUUUUUGUUUAAAAUCUUAGGUCAAGAAAUCAAAUCUCAUCUCCUACGUAUUUUUUCUCCUUUAUAAACAUCUUGAUUUUCAUCCCUUGUCUAUCCUACAAAGUAAUUGAUACCUUUCUCUCACCUCCCUUCGAAAUACAUAUAUGUCUUAGAUUUUUAUCUCUUGUCUAUUCAAAAAUAGAAUGAAUAAACAUUUCAUCAAUGCUUUAUUUAUUCAUAAAAAGUGUGUGGAAUUGUCACUUCGUUUCUCAUAUGAGGCUGUUAAAGACUUAUACCUAAAAAAAUAAAACGCAAACCCACAUAUCAAUGAUCCAUUUAACUAUAUAUGUUUACACAUAAGUAGUUAGUUUGAAUCACCUCAAAAAAGAUUAACCCAGAUGUCAAUGACCCACUAAAUAAUUUGUGAUUAUAUAUGGGUAGUUAGUUUGAAGUUAAUGCAACAGAAAUCUAUUAUUAAGAAUAUUCUUGGUAUUAUUCCCCUUUUUUAUAUACAAUUUAAAUAAUAACUUGAUUGUUUGGGAAAGAUUGAUUGAAACACCAUUUGACAUUUUUUUUUUCUUAUUUUCAAGAGCUGUAAAGUUCAAUUAUGGGCAAAAUUAUUGCAUUUCAUGAUAUAGUUAUGUAUUGAACAUGCAAGAGGAAAAGUAUUAUUGAAAAAUUAUUGCUUCAACUACAUUUUUAUUAGACAUUAAUUUGUUUUAUUAGUCAUUGUCUCUUUUGGUAGUCACCUCUUUUAAAUUGACAUUUUGGGUUUUUAAAAAAUUUGAAAUCUUUAAUACAUUGUACAUCCAUUCAUCAAUUUCAAGUGUCACACGAAUUUAUAGUACAGUUGACAAUGAUUUUAAAAAAUAUUUUUAUUUUUUUUAUAUUUAAAAUAUAUUUUAAGUAUAAUUUUUUUAAAAAUUACUAGCAAAUACACUUUUAUUAUAUUUAUUAUUUUCCUAUGUAAAUACGAUAUUUAUCUCCGUAAAAUAUUAUAAUAUUUCAUCCUAAGAAAUAAAUUGACAAAGUCAAGCAUAUCGAGUAAUGAAGUAGAGGGUGGUUAGGCCAUCACUAGUCAGAACAUUGCAUGAAGAUGGAGUAGGGCUAUAAGUGGGCUGAGCUGCCGAGCACAUGAGAGAUAACGGUUUGACCCAAUAGACUUGGAAUAGAAAUCCAAUCAAUAGUUAGGCGUGACUUGGUUGGCAGACCUAACGGUACCCAGUGUGUUUCUGUCACCUUGCUCAUAUAACUCAGGGAACAUUUAGCCCCUUCCAACCCACUCACCACUGUGCCACUGUGGAGACGGUUCUCCGCAGCCCCCUUUGUGGCAUAUUCCCACCGUAAAUUUUUUUAUAAUUAUAAAUUAUAAAUAAUAGUUUAGAUUUUAAGAAGGGAGGGAAAAAAUAAAGAAAAUAUCUAAUAAAGUAGGAAUCUUAUAACAUUAUUUAUAUAAAUGUCGUCUCCUUUAAACCUCGUGUAAAUACAAUAAAAUACAAUAAAAUAUAACGAGAAUGUUAUUAGGAGUAUGAGAUUGAUAGUAUUUAUAAUAAUUCGCUCUCAAUCUUAUAAAUAUUAUCUAUUUUGUAUCUAAAAAACUCUUAUGACUUUAAAAGACAUCUAUAUGCUUAAGAUGAUCUUCUAUAUUCGAUAUGAGAUAUCGUAAUUUAAUAUAAAAAAUUGUACAACAUACUCACAUCUAUUUUUUGAUAAAUACUGCUUUUAAUCUAUAGAUUUAUUUAUUUGUUUAUAAAAAAUAUGCAAGUUAAAUUUAAAAUUUUACAAAGGUGUGAUUAAUUAAGUCAUAUGGCGUAACUCCAUUUGGGUGUCUUAUUUAUUCUUAAAAAUCUCAUGUGGAAACAUGAAUUCAACAAGAGGGAGGGUCCCAUGGAAUUGAGAUAGAGAGGAGCAUUCCCUACAUUUGGUCACCGAAGCAUGUGAUGUGCUCCUCAUAAACGAAUGGUGUCCCAAGAAAAAGCAUGUCCAUGAAAAGCUAAUUGAAAAAGGAGAGGAGCCAACACAAAUGCCACAAGUUCCAUCUUCCAAUUCUCCAACUUCUUCCGGGUCUAGAAUAAAAGACUAGCUGCUCUUUCACUCUUUAUCUCUCUCCAAUAAUAUAAUGCUAUUUUGUUUUUAGUUUUGAUCUUAGCUUCACUUUCAAAAUAACCCCCUAUGGAAGGGAAAAUUUUCCUAAUAAAUAUAUUAGACUCCUCUUAAUUAUAUAAAUAUAUUUUAAAAUCAUAGAAGUUCAUUACAUCUACAAUGGAAUAGGUAGGUAAUUUUAAAUGUUUUGACUUCCGGUUAAAGAAUUGUUAUGAUAUAUUACAUUCGAUAAAAACACAAUAUAUUCUUAAUUAUAUAGACAUAUUUAAAAAUCUUGAAGCCUAAUGGGUAUAAUGGAAUAAGUGUCUCAAAAUUAUUGGAAAGAUGAUUGUGUUAUCCUAUAUUAGAUAGGAACAUAAUAUAUGUUAUGAAUUUCUUUUAACUAUGUAGACGAUUUAACAUGAUAAGUGCUAGAAUAGUUAGAAAGUAAUAUAUAGGAAUUUAUGUGAGAGAAGUUAUAGAAUUGUAUUAGAAUCAUAAAAUAUAGUCUUAUAAACUUUUUAAUUAAGUGGUUAAAUUAUUAUUUGAUCUUAACAUUUUCAUGUUUUUAUUGUUAUUAUUAUGGAUAAACAUUUGUAUCUUGUCAUAAAUGAGUUAUAAUGGGUCAAAGAUGCUUUAUUAAAGUUAUGAAAGUUUAUUGAGUUUGGAACAGACAAUAUCUAUAUGAAAGACCAAGCCAUUAUCAAUGUUAUAAGAUAAAUAUGUAUAUGUAACGACUCGCACCCAACCAUAUAAAUAUUGUUCGCUUUGAGCCCAAAGAGCUUCUCACGGCUUUAAAAUACGUCUACAAGGUUAUGAGGAUUUUAUACUUCGCUAUGAACUUUUCUCUCUAUCCGAUGUGGGAUGUCAUAAACACUCUCAUGCAGACACAAUGUCCUCGUUGUGUUCCACAGAAUUGUAGGAUCAAACAGACAAAUACCCCUAUGGGAUCAAAUAAACCCCCAUAUCGAGGUCGGGGAUUGGAUCUGAUACCAUUUAUAAUGAUCCACUUUUAACUGUGUAGAUAUUAUUCGUUUUUAAUCCAAAUGAGUCUUCACGACUUUAAAAUGUGUCUAUAUGGUUACAAGAAGUCCAUACUUAUAUAGUGUCAUGACUCCUAUUCGAUGUGAGAUGUCAUAGUAUAUAUUGAGUUUUUCCUAACUUCAAGGUAUGAAGGUAUAUUGCUCUCAUAGUCGUAAAAGAGGGAGAACAAUGAAGAUGAAUGUGUACUAAGAAUGAAUGUCAAUCAUAGUCUCUUCUCUUAGCUUUUAUUGUAUGCCUUUUAUGGCACAUUAUUUUAAAUUCAUAUUCAUGACAUGGGCGACUGAGUUGAUUCAUAUCAUUUCUGAAAAAAAAAAAAAAAAGAAGUCAUAUUAGGGUGCUGUGGAGCCCCGGCAUCUACAAAAGAACUCUAUUUUAUUUUAUUUUAUCUAAUAAAAUAAAAGAAAGAAAGCAUACCGACCCCUAUAGAUUAGAUAGGAAUCUUAGAUUGAUUUGUCAAAAAGUCGGGCAAAUUUAACGUCAAAAGAAAGAGAAAAGAGGACAAAUAAAAAGGUAUGCAGCCUUUUCAACUCUGGCUUUCGUCGACGCUGAGACCUUAAGGAAAAAAAAAAGGGAAAAGAAACUUUUGUCACACACUAAUCUAACCAAUCAAAUGACUGUUAUGAGAGUUUUUUACUUGGACAAACAAGAUUGUGAAUUGAUUUCCGAAAAGUUUAAAACCUUUUAAUAAAACCAAGUGAAAAACUAUUCACUCCUACAAGAAAAAUAAUUAUUCUUCUAUUUUUCUCUCUUUAAUUGGAAUGACGGGACUAUAACAGUACUGAAAAAUGAGAAGAAAAAAGGAAGGAAAUUCCAAAAUAUUUGAGGUGGGUAACAACUAACACCAUUUGACAGCCUUUCGGUUGGAAGCUUGUGAGCUUCUUUGGCUGACAUUUCAGCUUCAACUUCAACAUCAAUGUUUCCCAAACCCUGCUGAAAGAAAAGAAACUACACCCACUACACAAAAAGCAAAGAAAGCAACCCACACAGCCAUCCCCACCCCACCCCACCCCACCCACAUCCACACCUCAAGGUCCUAGCGAGGGAUCUCUACAGGGUAAAGUGACUUGUUUUCCCCAGAGUAAACUCACCCAAAGAUGUCUUCUACUUUAUCUUAAAUAGUUCCAUCACAUCAUGGCCCGAGUCACGGCCACAACAACUUAGAAAUAUCUCUUCCAAUCAUCCAAAUGCACAAAACAAGAACAUGACAGACGACAAAAAAAAGGUAGGCAGAUUGAAGAAAUUAUAUGCCCCAGUCACAAAAUCCUCCCAAAAAUUAUGAAACGAUUCCCCUUUUCAUUUUGGUUAGUAAUAGAUCAACAAAAAGGGGAGGGAAAAAAACAGGGUUGUGUCAGUCACCAUCAUGUACAAUGCUUCUCAAUCGUAUUCUUUCAGGUCAUAAGUUGAUAAUUACAAAAUUCAGUGGCUAAGACCCCUCCAUUUCCCAUGUUAACAACUAUAGGCUUCUAUAUGAUUUUUCCCUUCAUCAUGGACAGAGUUGUAAACUCUGGUUUUGGAACUCAGAAGGACAAGAACUUUAUCCAGCAGUCAAUAAUAUCUUGGACGAGGAGGAGCAUACCCUCCAGGAUGCUGCAUAUCAGUGGGGAAAUUUCCAUAAGAGGGCCUUACAAGAGGAGCUCCAUAAGGUGAACCUGAAAACAUAUAUAAUAAUCACUCAAUUCUUGUGUGGGAGCAACAAAAUAACCAAUCAAAAGACAGAUUAAUAACAAAAAGUUAAUAACAUAGGAAACAAAGUGAUUAAGGCAAUCAUCACUGGAACAUUAGAUAACAACGGUUUUCGAAAUGAAACAUGAUACACAUCAUGAGAUAUCAAGCUACUCUUUGUAAAAUUUUUACCUACAAAUGAAUAUUAUAAACAACUAAAUCACAUGUACAAUUUGGAACCUUGAAGUGAUCAAUUUCAAUUUCUGGGAUCCUAAGCAACGAAAGAAGUUUCCAAUUGAUGUAGUAGUACAAGUAUUGUAAGCCAUGAAGUCAUGUAAUGACACAGUACAGCAAAAGUAAAAAAGGACCGGUUAAUCCUACCUAAAAGACUAGGUUUGCUCCCUUUGAAAGUUUUUCUACGAUGCAUACUUCACCUAUUAAGAAAAAGCGUCCUUAAAGGACUAGAUUAGCAUAAUGCUUAAUGAACCAAACCACCAGUGCAGCAACAACAACAACAACAACCCAAAAAAAAAAAAAAGGAAGGAAAAAUUGGAAAUUUAUGCCUGAAUUUGUUUCACAUUAUUUCCAAAAGGCCAAGUAAUUCAAGUAUAAAAGUGUAUGCUUCUUUCAUAAAUGAAAGAGUUUCUUCCACCCAAAAUCUAUUGCUUUUUCCAGCUACAAUUGUAAAAAAAAUGUAGGGCAAUAAAAAAACAAUACUUUGAAAAGUGAGUGUAGCCAACUGAGGCUAUUGCCAUUGGCACAAUAAAAAAGGAAUAAGAAUUAGAAAUGGAUGAAUUAAUCAGAAGAGACUAACACAGAUCCAGGAUUAGCUCAGGAAAAGUUCUCUACGACAGGCCCUGUGCAAUACAGGCCAGUUUUACUGCAUCAGUAAUGUGAAGGGCUCUACCAGUGACAAGAGAAAGGCCAAAAGGAUGAGGACUGCAGUGUGACAAGGCAUUUAAGUGUAUGAUGGUGUAGGUCUAAAUAAAAUCAAAUGAUGAAAAAGGAUUUGAGUGUGAAUACCAGGCACAUAUAACUUAAGGCUUUCAUGAACUGAAUUGGUUGAGAUGUGCUAUUUCUAAGUUAUUCCUAGAAGCAUGGAUGAAUCUUUUAAGCCACAGGUUGUUCAACUAUUUUAAAACAAUUCCAUCUACUUUAAAACAUUCCCUAAUUGAAUAUGACUUCCAAAAACCAAAAUUGUUUCUAACAAUAAAUGAUAUCUAAUUUCCAGAGUGGCUGCCAUGACUACACAUAACCAACCCACUACAAACUAAACAGAGUGUUAAAAUCAGAUAUCACAUACAGCAAAUAAAGAGUUAAAAUACCUACCAUAUGACAUUUGGGAAGGAGUAGGCAGAUUUCUAGGGUCUCUUGGUACUAGCUGAUUAGCUCCAAAGCCUCCAGGGACACUACCAUGUCCACCAAGGGUGUUGUGUGAAAAUAAAGACGUCCUCAUACUUUCAGCUUGGGUUUCAUAAUGAUUCACUCCUUCAACAUUAUAUUUAUCAUGGGAUUCAACCAUUCCACUCACAUAAGGGUCUGUAGCACCCAUGGGAAUAGGAUUCCUGCUUUCAAGGUUGGUUCUUCUGUAGGGGUCAACCAUCCCAAAGCUCUGGUAACUGGCCAUACCAACCCCAGGAAUGGAACCUCUGGAGUUAUCAUACCCAUAAGUCCCAUAGCUAUUGGAAUCAUUUCUAGAAAGAAAAUUUCUACUGUAACCUAAGGAGGUUUCAUACGGAGCGUCUCUUGGCAUAAACGGAUUUUGAUUGUCUUGGUACGCUCUGGGAAAUGGUUCCACUCUUCCAUGUAGUGCAACCCCCUGAUGACCUGAGUUCAUCUGCAGCAUUUAAGCAUAGGUUAUGAAACAGUAAGAGUAACAUCCUCCAAAAUAACAUAAAAAAAAAUGAUCAAGUGAAUACAUUGGAAGCCUAAAUAUGUAACCAAAAUGACAACUACAAAAGUUGACAUAAAUUUCAGCUUUGUGAAAAAGCAAAGCUGAUAGAUCCUGAUUACAAAUUUGAAAGGCAGGGGUGAAAUGGGAAAAUUUCACUCACAUGAGCAGGCCUUUGGUAAUAAUAGUUCUGAGGGAGAGGAGGAUGAUAACUCAGGCUACGUUCAUCAGGGACUGAACCAAAGGGAAACAUCAUCAGAAAUAUACAUAGGACUAAUUUCCAAUUUUGAAAUGAAGUAAGGCUAAACAAAAACCUGAUGGAGCCCCUUGAUUUUGCAGUGAAGAGCUAUUAUAUGACUGGAGAGAACUUUCCUGAGAAUAAGGUGAAAAGUUGCUUUUCAAGUUCAAAUGGGAUGCAGUUCCUAAGGCACGCUUCAUCUCUUCCAAACAUUUUUGUGCUUCUCCUCUGUUCAGUUCUGGAAACAGAACCUUAUGCAGGAGAUCACAGCAUUAGCUGCUAUUAUUAUCAAUGGCAUGUGUAAAUGGAUUUUCAGAUCUUGGAUGACACUUACCUGAUCAAAAUCCUCAUCUGAACCAGGCAUGUCCUUACUUCUAGGCAAGACAUAAUUGGCUGUCAGAAGCACAGUAAAACCAGGAAUUGUUAGAGAGAACUUAUAAAUUGGAAAAGGCAACCAAAGAACUAUUCAAAGGAAAAACUAACAUAAACAUUAGCAGAAUACCAAUCAUUUCAUUUACUGCAUCAGCUGGUACCUCCUUUCCCAUUUCUUUAAAUCUUUUUUCAGCACGAAACUUAAGCUCUUCUGGCUUUGGAAAGAGCACAACAGCAAUCUGAUUUGGAGCCAUGUUAUUCAUGAAUGUCACAGUAACUUUAAAACAAAUAAUCUAAUUUUAAUCCUUCAUUUAGAGAUACAGAAUGAUAUUAUGUAGCUACCUUCUGAAAAUUUGCAAAUGGUUUCAGUUUACGUUUACGUGCAUUCUUGUAAACAUUUGUUUGAUCAAUAAUGUAGUUGUGAGGUGUCUUCGAAGCUCUGGACAGUAACGUAUUAAAUAUUCCAGUUGCUCGGUCCAUUAGACGCUCAAAUCGUUCACCAUAAUUCUGCUUACGCAGUAGCCCUGGUACCUGUAGAAAGACUUAACUUGUGUCAAGCAGUAAGAAAUGACAAUAAUGAAUAGCAAAGUCAAAACAACUCUUGGAAGUCCAGCUGGCCCUCUUAAAGACUCAACAGAAAAGACAAGCAGAAACCUUCAUUUGAUCCAGAGCCAGAUUUGUUCCAAGUAAAACAUAUCGCUUCUCAGCAUGCUCUUUCACCCAUUUCUCUGCCCAAGUGGACUUUCCAGAAGCAGGUAAUCCUACCAUCAUCAUCACUUCACAAUCUCUUGGGCUAGAAAAAGAAGGUCCCAUUAUUGCAUUUCCAUCAUAAAGUGCAGAAGCCCAAGGCUUAUAGCCUUCUUCAGGAACAAGUCCCUCUUCAGUACUGAACUGGACUUGAACCAUUACAUUUUUCAACAAAACAUGAGGAAAGAGAGCUGAUUCCCAAUGCAGCUGCCUCAUUGGAGAAUCCACAACCCCAAGACCCUUUACACCCGCAUCAAAUUCCUUUGCAACACCCAACCAUUUCCCAUUUUUGGAGAAACUGAUGGAAGCCAAAGGUUUAGUUUCAAGAUUUACAGCACAUACAAUUGUAUCCCCAACCCCAAACUUUUCACCAUAAUUUGAAAAUUUUCCAGCAACUGAAAAUUUUCCUGUGCCACCAAACCCAAAGCUGUGCUCUGUUUCCCCAAGGUUUCCCAC